rnacentral:rRNA from 1 species
GUGGGGAAUAUUGGACAAUGGGCGCAAGCCUGAUCCAGCAAUGCCGCGUGCAGGAAGAAGGCCUUCGGGUUGUAAACUGCUUUUGUACGGAACGAAAAGGCUCUGGUUAAUACCUGGGGCUGAUGACGGUACCGUAAGAAGAAGCACCGGCUAACUACGUGCCAGCAGCCGCGGUAAUACGUAGGGUGCGAGCGUUAAUCGGAAUUACUGGGCGUAAAGCGUGCGCAGGCGGUUUUGUAAGACAGGCGUGAAAUCCCCGGGCUCAACCUGGGAAUUGCGCUUGUGACUGCAAGGCUGGAGUGCGGCAGAGGGGGAUGGAAUUCCGCGUGUAGCAGUGAAAUGCGUAGAUAUGCGGAGGAACACCGAUGGCGAAGGCGGCCACCUGGACCAGUACUGACGCUGAGGCACGAAAGCGUGGGGAGCAAACAGGAUUAGAAACCCGAGUAGUCC